rnacentral:rRNA from 1 species
UGGGGAAUAUUGGACAAUGGGCGCAAGCCUGAUCCAGCCAUGCCGCGUGAGUGAUGACGGCCUUAGGGUUGUAAAGCUCUUUCGACGGGGACGAUAAUGACGGUACCCGUAGAAGAAGCCCCGGCUAACUUCGUGCCAGCAGCCGCGGUAAUACGAAGGGGGCUAGCGUUGUUCGGAAUCACUGGGCGUAAAGCGCACGUAGGCGGAUUGUUAAGUCGGGGGUGAAAUCCUGAGGCUCAACCUCAGAACUGCCUCCGAUACUGGCAAUCUCGAGUUCGGAAGAGGUUGGUGGAACAGCUAGUGUAGAGGUGAAAUUCGUAGAUAUUAGCUAGAACACCAGUGGCGAAGGCGGCCAACUGGUCCGACACUGACGCUGAGGUGCGAAAGCGUGGGGAGCAAACAG